GAAAACUUACCAGGUCAAGACAUGGGCGUGAUUGACAGGCUAAUGACUUUCCUCGAUUCCAUGGAUGGUGGUGCAUGGUCGCACUUAGUUGGUGCAGUGAUUUGUCAGGUUUAUUCCGGUAACGAACGAGACCUCGGCCUUGUAAAUAGCUAUGCUGCUUACAGGGACAUUGGCGGCUACGCCAAGGAAGCUCGAGGCAAUUGCAGAUCUGGAAUGCCCUUAGAUGUCCUGGGUCGCACGCGUGCUACAAUGACGCCACGAACGAGCUUGCGUGAUGAAAGUUACGCAUAAUCAGCAGUCGGCGUCUUAAGGGAUAGUCUCUUGUAACUGUGGGACUCCAACUAGGAAUGUCUCGUAAGCACAAGUCAACAUCUUGUGUUGACUACGUCCCUGCUCUUUGUACACACCGCCCGUCGCUCCUACCGAUCGAGUGUUUAGGUGAAUUUGAUGGACGUAAGGAAGUCAAAUAAACCUGAGCACUAGAGAAGAGACUCGAUAUU
rnacentral:rRNA from 1 species